rnacentral:misc_RNA from 1 species
UUGAUCAUUUAAACAAUUUUAUUGUAACAAGGAAAUUAAAGCUUUCGAUUAUGGAUGAAAAUAUACUGUUAUUGCAAAUCUGUCAUUAAAUUUAUAAUAUAUGCGUUAUCAUAAUACGAACGGAUGAAAAGCCUAACCACAUUUAAUUUAGAUUACAAAAUAUUGCCGAUACGACAUAAAGAGAUAUGCAGAGAUAAAAUUCUAUUUCAAAUAUUAGUCACAUAGUGCGUACUAUCAAGUCUACAUGUACUAGAUGAGAUGAUCUACUAGAUGAGAAAGUCAUACACGAUAACCGUCCUCGAUGCAGAAGUGCUCGCGAUAUACUGACUAAAUUUCUCGAAAGAUAGAUGUCUGAAUCGAAAACAACCUCCUCCCUCGCCUAGUAAACGACAGCGUCGGCGUCAUGAUACGUCGAAAUGCUAAGGAUGUUGUAUAUUAAAACAUGCAUUUAUAUGCAAGAAUG